CCUCACUUUUUCUUUAUUUUUUUUUUUAAAUUUUAUUUUGAAAGUAUACAACAGAACAAGUCAGAAUAAAGCCAACUAAGAUCGUACAGUGAAAUUGGUACAGAACUUUACAGCAGGUUACCGGGAUAACAGUAAUAGGUAUAACAGUAUAUUUUGUUAUCUUUAUAAUAGUUGUUCUUUCAAUCAUGUAUAUCAAAAUGAGAUGAAAUAUAGAACACUAUAGGACUUAUCAAAACAGAAUAUUGAAUAGAGCAGUACCAUUAAUCAGAAAAGAGCAAAAUGGUAAUAGAAAUAUUUGCCUUCAAAGAGAUGAUAGAAGGAAAUCCCCCUUAUUUGCGAUGGUCAGCCUCCCAGGAGACGCUCAGAUUUCUGGUUCCCAUUUGCUAAUGGCGUGGGGGGGGGAGGAGGAUAGGGGAAGUGGGAUAUCUGACUCUAGGCCAUGUAGCAGUAGGUUCACCACUGCUUAGCAGGGAGGCAUGAUGGUCAUUUGUUUUCACAGUGUCCUCAGUUCCAAAUGGCGUGGAUCUCAGGAGCUGCUGCUGGUUCUCCCCCUGGAAGGGCUGCAGUCGGCCAGACCACCACCGCUUACCAGGGAGGGGAGGUACUUGCUUGGCUUCCCAGGGUCUUAAGUUCCAACAGGAGACACUUCUGGUUCAACCCCUGGAAGGGCUGCAGUCUGCCACACUGCCUCUGCUUACCAGGGAGGGGAGAGCCAGCUGUCUACAUCAUCAUGAAGCAGAUGACUGGUAGUGGGAGCUCCUGGCCUCUCUUCACUAAAACCUUAAGCCUCCAACCUUUCAGACAUUCUGAUUCUCUCCUUCCUUUGCUAUUGAAGUAUGGCUGCUAGAGAGGAUCUCAUAUAGGGCUAUCUGGAGUCGUCUUCCUCUCCCCAAUCUACAGAUACUCUUGGAUCAUCUUUAACUUUCUUCAUAUGAAAAUCUUCUCUCCAUAUUUUCCAAAUGUUGUGGUUUAGAUCUAAAAUGUCCCCUAAACCUCUGAUCAGAGAAGGGCUUGAUCAGAGGGGACACGUCACUGGCAGUAUGAUCUGGGAGGGUGAAUUUUUACCCCCGGUUCCUUUCUUCUCUCUCUGCUUGCUGGCCACCAGAAGGUGAGCAGUUUGCUUUUGCCAUACUGUUCUGCCAUGGCAUUUCUGCCUUGGAGCCGGAUGACCAUGCCCUGAACCCAAUGAAACUAUGAACUGAAAUAAAUUUUUCUUCCUUUAA